CCUACGGGUGGCUGCAGUGGGGAAUAUUGGACAAUGGGCGAAAGCCUGAUCCAGCCAUGCCGCGUGAGUGAAGAAGGCCUUCGGGUUGUAAAGCACUUUCAGUGGGGAAGAAAGCCUUGGGGCUAAUACCCUCGAGGAAGGACAUCACCCACAGAAGAAGCACCGGCUAACUCCGUGGCCAGCAGCCGCGGUAAUACGGAGGGUGCGAGCGUUAAUCGGAAUUACUGGGCGUAAAGCGCGCGUAGGCGGUCUGAUAAGCCGGUUGUGAAAGCCCCGGGCUCAACCUGGGAACGGCAUCCGGAACUGUCAGGCUAGAGUGCAGGAGAGGAAGGUAGAAUUCCCGGUGUAGCGGUGAAAUGCGUAGAGAUCGGGAGGAAUACCAGUGGCGAAGGCGGCCUUCUGGACUGACACUGACGCUGAGGUGCGAAAGCGUGGGUAGCAAACAGGAUUAGAUACCCCGGUAGUC
rnacentral:rRNA from 1 species